AUCAAGAAGAGGAAGAAGAAGAAGAAACUCAUUU
rnacentral:sRNA from 1 species